AAUAUCUUUUUUUUUUCAACACAUUUUUCUCUAGGCCAUAUUCAUAGCAACAAAAUAGAUGAUUUCCAUUGUCUCCCAGAUCUGGAACUUAUAUCACAAUAAAAUAUACCUGGAAAUGUUUCCACAAUGUUGAAUCAAAUUUCAUAUAUAUCUUACUUUCAAAUUAUUUUUGGGUUCUAUCCUUUGGAUUUCACAUUUGCCUUCUCUUUUUGUGUAAGUCACAUUUUACUUUUCAAACACUACACUCAAUACAUUGAUGCUACUUUUGACCUCAAGUAUGUGUGCAUCCCUCUCAAAGAUUGGGGAGGACCAGAAAAACAAACCUUGGUUCAGCACUAGUCCUCCAGAAACAUUGGCAAGAAGGCAAAUGUCUAUGUGAACAUGGUAGAUAUUGUCAACAAGUUUGUGUUUUUACUCUUUUACUAUACAUUUCAUUUCCCCCCCCCCC